rnacentral:rRNA from 1 species
AUUCUAGAGCUAAUACAUGCUGUUAAGCCUGACUUACGAAGGGCUGUAUUUAUUAGAUAACAGACCAAUAUUCCUCGUGUCUAUUGUGGUGAAUCAUAGUAACUGAUCGGAUCGCAUGGGCUUGCCCGCGACAAACCAUUCAAGUUUCUGCCCCAUCAGCUUUCGAUGGUAGUGUAUUGGACUACCAUGGCUUUUACGGGUAACGGAGGAUUAGGGUUCGAUUCCGGAGAGGGAGCCUGAGAAACGGCUACCACAUCUAAGGAAGGCAGCAGGCGCGUAAAUUACCCAAUCCUGACUCAGGGAGGUAGUG